rnacentral:rRNA from 1 species
UACGUAGGCAGCGAGCGUUGUUCGGAGUUACUGGGCGUAAAGGGUGUGUAGGCGGUUCUUUAAGUUUGGUGUGAAAUCUCCCGGCUCAACCGGGAGGGUGCGUCGAAUACUGAGGGACUAGAGUGCGGGAGAGGAAAGUGGAAUUCCUGGUGUAGCGGUGAAAUGCGUAGAUAUCAGGAGGAACACCGGUGGUGUAGACGGCUUUCUGGACCGUAACUGACGCUCAUGCACGAAAGCGUGGGGAGCAAACAGG